rnacentral:rRNA from 1 species
AGAAUCAACGCUGGCGGCGUGCCUAACACAUGCAAGUCGAACGAGAAAGUGGAGCAAUCCAUGAGUAAAGUGGCGCACGGGUGAGUAACACGUGACUAACCUACCCUUGAGUGGGGGAUAACCUAGAGAAAUCUGGGCUAAUACCGCAUAAUACCUUCGGGUCAAAGGAGCAAUUCGCUUAAGGAGGGGGUCGCGGCCGAUUAGUUAGUUGGCGGGGUAAUGGCCCACCAAGGCGAAGAUCGGUAGCCGGCCUGAGAGGGCGCACGGCCACACUGGAACUGAAACACGGUCCAGACUCCUACGGGAGGCAGCAGUGGGGAAUUUGCGCAAUGGGGGAAACCCUGACGCAGCAACGCCGCGUGGAGGAUGAAGUCCCUUGGGACGUAAACUCCUUUCGACCAAGACGAUAAUGACGGUACUGGUGGAAGAAGCACCGGCUAACUCUGCGCCAGCAGCCGC